rnacentral:rRNA from 1 species
AAGACCCCGUGAACCUUUACUAUAGCUUGACACUGAACAUUGAGCCUUGAUGUGUAGGAUAGGUGGGAGGCUUUGAAGUGUGGACGCCAGUCUGCAUGGAGCCGACCUUGAAAUACCACCCUUUAAUGUUUGAUGUUCUAACGUGGACCCGUUACCCGGGUUGCGGACAGUGUCUGGUGGGUAGUUUGACUGGGGCGGUCUCCUCCUAAAGAGUAACGGAGGAGCACGAAGGUUGGCUAAUCCUGGUCGGACAUCAGGAGGUUAGUGCAAUGGCAUAAGCCAGCUUGACUGCGAGCGUGACGGCGCGAGCAGGUGCGAAAGCAGGUCAUAGUGAUCCGGUGGUUCUGAAUGGAAGGGCCAUCGCUCAACGGAUAAAAGGUACUCCGGGGAUAACAGGCUGAUACCGCCCAAGAGUUCAUAUCGACGGCGGUGUUUGGCACCUCGAUGUCGGCUCAUCACAUCCUGGGGCUGAAGUAGG